UUUGCGUCGUUCAGGCGAUGCUGCUAUCGUGACGUAUAAUGUAGUGGACGGUUCUUCAAAAACAACAAGUCAACCACCUCGGUAGCUUGCUAGCCAACGUAGCCGAAAGAUUCAAGCUGUUUUUACGCUUUCGGUGUAUAUUAGCUGCUGUGUUUUAGACACACUUCUAUCGUAUAUACUUGUUAGCCUAUUUAAUUUAAUAUGACGUUAUUUUUUACUAGUCAGAUAUAGUAGCUGGCUGGUUAAAUUAGCACUAGCUUAGUCGCUAAUGAUAGCUAGCUAGCUAAUAUCCCCGAACAUGAGGUCAGUAAGCUUCUCCCCUCCUGGUAAAGAAGAAGAGGUCUGCUGGACGGAGAAAGAAGCUCUGGGACUGAACAUUGUCGUGAAAGAGGAGAAGGAAGAGGAGGAUGUCACAGUUAAAAAAUAAAUUGAGGGUGAGGCUGUUACAGUGAAAGAGGAAGACGUUACAGUGAAAGAGGAGGAUGAGAAAGAGGAUGCCGUUUUUGACGUGAAGAAGGAAGGGGAGAUUUCUGUCACAUUGAAAGAUGAAGAGGUGGAGGUAGGAGAUCUGAUUUACAUCAGAGAGAGACGUGACUAUCGUGUAUCCUCUGGGGAGCCUCAACAACAUCAUGAAGCUGACGAGGCAGAGAAGAGUCCCUCCAGGUCAUAUCACCUCAAGAAACACCAGUGGAGACCAACAGGGAAGAAAUCUCACUGCUACUCUGACUGUGGGAAAGGUUGCAAAUCUUCAUCAGAACUUAAAAUACACCAGCGAGUACACACAGGAGAGAAAUCUCACCACUGUUUUGAUUGUGGGAAGAGUUACUUAAGAUCAGAAUCACUAAAAGUACACAUGAGAAUUCACACUGGAGAGAAACCUUAUAGCUGUGAUCAAUGUGGGGAAAAUUUUACUCACUCAAGCUGCCUGAUAGUACAUCUGAGAGCACACACAGGCGAGAAAUCGUAUAGCUGUGAUCAAUGUGGGAAGAGGUUUACUCACUCAAGCUGCCUGAUAGUACAUCUGAGAGCACACACCAGAGAGAAACCUUACCACUGCUCUGACUGCGGAAAGAGUUUUGUUAGUUCAACAGAUUUAAAAUCACACCAGAAAAUACACAUAGUAGAGAAACCUUUUAACUGUACUCAAUGUGGGAAGAGGUUUAAUCACUCAAGCUGGCUGAAAGUACAUCUGAGAGCACACACAGGAGUGAAACCUUAUAGCUGUGAUCAAUGUGGGAAGAGAUUUGUUACAUCUAGCCAUCUGACUAUACACCAGAGAACACACACAGGAGAGAAAUCUCAUAGCUGUGAUCAAUGUCACAAGAGAUACUCUGAUAAAAGAUCUCUUAUCAAACAUCAGAAAAUAUAUACAUGAAGUAGUUGUUUCAUGAUAUCAAUGAAAUGUCACAAUGUAGAUUAUUUGAAUGAUGUCACAAUGUAGAAUGUUUUAACAUUGUAGUAGGAAUACAAAGGAUUUUAAUUUGUUAAAAGUCCAUAUUGAUACAGAAACACUAAACCAUGAUUUAGAUGUAUUAAGAACAAGUUGAUUGACAAAGUCAUGAAAAAUGGAAUAAACCACAUUUUGGCUCUGAUAAAAGAUAUGGCUCUGGGGUCAAAAUGAUCCAUGUCAGAACUAUGGUUCAAUGUAAAUAUGUAGUGGGUCUAAAGUUUGUUUUAAAUUAUCACUCAUAAAACACGAAUCAAUCAACACAUGCUUCUCUUUGAACGACUUAAUAUAAUAUUACACUUUUAUGAAAUAAAUUAAAAUACACUUUUGGUUCCUCAACUGCGUUGCCCACUCCAGUCAGCAGAAAGAGACGCAGCAGAAGUGCGUCUUUUUAUAUUUGAUUUGAUUUAUAUAUUUUUUUAUUCAAAAUGCAGAUCUUCAAUUUACAUUGUUACAUCAUACAAAACAGAACACAGGUAUUAACAAGAAAAUACUAAAACAGACAAAAAAUAUAAAUAAUGAACUAUUCUAGUGUAGUUGUAAUCUCUGAAAAAAUCUAUAAUGAUUCAGGAGGAUGUUAUUGUUGUUAUUCACUAGGAUUAAUGUUUUAAUAAAAUAGUUACAUUCAAUCAGAAUAAUGUAGAAUUUUGGUAUAGAAUUUUGGAAUUUUUGUUUGUGUAUAAAGUAUUUGGCAACAAGAAUAAAAAAAAAUGAACAAUCAUUUCAAUGGUCUUGUUAUCAUUGCAAUAGUAACAUAUUAUAUCUUUCAUGUCAAAAACAUGGGUCGUGUUCAUAAUGGUAAAUAAGUAUUUUUCAAGGUUUUCCCAAAAUUCUGACACAAAUUUACAUUAAAGAACAUUUACAUUAAA